rnacentral:rRNA from 1 species
GACGAACGCUGGCGGCGUGCCUAACACAUGCAAGUCGAACGGAAAGGCCCUGCUUUUGUGCGGUGCUCGAGUGGCGAACGGGUGAGUAACACGUGAGUAACCUCUCCUUUACUUUGGGAUAACUUCAGGAAACUGGGGCUAAUACCGGAUAGGAGUUCUUGCUGCAUGGUGUGGGUUGGUUAGUUUCGGCGGUUGGAGAUGUAAUCGCGGCUUAUCCGCUUGUUGGUGUGGUAGUAGCUUACAAAGGCUUUGAAGGGUAGCAGACAUGAGAGGCUGACCGGCCACAAUAGGACUGAGGGACGGACCAGACGGCAAUGGGAGGCAAGGGUGGGAAAUAUGACAGAAUAAGCGGAAGCGAGAUGCAGAAACGCAGCGAGCGGGAUGACGGGCUUCGGGUUGUAAACAGAUUUCGCAUGAGACGAAGAGUGAGUGACGGUAAUGGGUAAAGAAGCACCGGCUAACUACGUG